GAGAUUCAUCUGCCUUUGCCUCCUCAGUCCUGAGAUUAAAAGCAUGCACCACCAGACCUGGCUAUGCUAACUGUAUUUUUAACAUGGUUAAGUCUCUUCAGUCUUGUAGGACACAGAAGCUGGGGCUAACGGCAUUGGCACCAUAGAACUGGCUUUUGUAGUUGCCCACGUGCAUAUUUUGGUGAGGUCUUUAAACCUUCCGGCAGCUUCUGGUCCUGUCUGGUGUCCCUUCCAUCCCACUGGAGACUCCUCUAUACCAAGACAAGUCUGGCACUUGAGAAAUCUCCUAAUUGAGAAAGAUCUGAAUGUGUCUCUCACUUGUGUGGGGCAUUUUUGCCAAAUACAGAAUGAUGAUAUCAAGACAUAUCUAUUUUGGGUUUGUUUCCUUGUGUCUAGCUUGCAGCCAUCGGAGCGAUAUGUUGAAGAGUCCCCCAGGCUGGUGGCCCCUGGGUGGCUUUGGAUCCAAAGUGGCCCCUGAAAGAUCAAGUCACAACUAGAGGGCUGGGAUUUUCAGCCCUGCUCCCUACCUCUGGAGAUGCUCAAAGUAGGCAAUGAAGCGCCACUCGCCUGGGGCCAUAACUCAUGCAUCUUCUUGUCUGUGUCCCUUGUGAAUUCCUUUAUACUAAUGGGCACGCAUCAAAAAAGCAUAUGAGCUUCUUAAGCUGCUCUUGUAAGUUAGUUGAACCUACAAGGAGAUUUUGGGGGAGCCUCUGAUUCAUAGGUGAUCAUUUAAAAAUAUAGGUGAUAAUCUAAUACCUGUAACCAAGAUUUGAAAUUUGAGGUCAGGGUACAGUGUUAGAGCUCGUCAAAACUGGUACUAUCCCCCCCACCCCACCCCACCCCACCCCACCCCACCCCACCUCCAUCUCAGCGCCCACUAAGGCUGAAAGUUCAGCGGUAAGUGAAAAGGGCCCUGUGUUCCACUGUCUCAUCUGUAGCUGACUGCUGGGUGGACACAUCCCAUGUGGGCCCAGUGCCAGAUGCCCCAUUGCUGUGAGUUCCUGAACGCCAUGACCACACCAUGCUUAAAAGAUCAUGCGCUGCAGCCCUUCUUGCCAUCGUCCAUCCCUUGCAUUCUUGCUCUUGCCAUCCCCCACCCCCCCGUUUCCACCGUGUUUUCUGAGGGCUAAGGGUGGUAUCAAUGACCUCUCAAGGGCUGAGCUGAGCCCUCAACCAUCCUUCAAGCUCAGCACUGUGUGCGGUCCUGGCCCUCUGAGCUCACCGCUACUCACUGCAAAGAAAGGCUUCACUGAUUAAUGUAGAGAGGAUCGCUUUUAAGCAUCACCUGUCAAUAAAAAAAAAAAGUGAUGAUGGCCAAUGAGCUGAAGCCGGAAGUAGGAGGUGGGACACUGGCAGGAAGAGAGGAUUCUGGGAAAUAGUGAGAGACUAAAGGAGAUUCAUGUGAGAUGCAGGGAGGAGGGGGAGGGGGGAAGAGAAGGAAGGGGGGAGGGAAUUCUGGGAAGAUGCUAAGAAGGAGGAGGCCAGGACUGAAGUAGAGGUAACUAACCACAUUGUAGACACAGAAUAGUUUAAUUGGGCUAAAUGAGUUCUAAGCUAAUCAGAGGAUGAGUCAGAGCUUGUGGCCAAGGCAUAUAUUAAUAAAUAAUUAGUCUCAGAAUCAUCAUUCUGGAAAAAGGGACUGCGAAGAAAAAGAGACAGAUUUUUCCUUUUUCAGAUUACGGCUGAGAGGCUUGGUCUAUGGUAUUAACGUAGACGUUCACCUAACUGCAUCAGUUUAGCUAGGCAGGGGCAUUGUUUCUCCUGGAGCUAAAGGCCUCCUUGGCCUUGGAAUUUUCUUUAAUGGAUUCCCAGUACAGGACAUGGUACUAUCAUGUACAGCACAACUGCCUUCCUCAUGGUGGCCAGAAAGUGAGGAGCGAGCAGGGAGAGGAUUGGAGACAGGAUGUAGCCUCCAGGGACGGCCUCCAGUUGGGCUUUAUCUCCUGAGAGUCCCACCAUCCUCCUGUAAUCCCCUCAGCUGGUAUCCAACUACUUGCAUCAUGGCCUUUGGGGGACAUUGCAAGUCCAAAUUAUGAUGCUUUUUUAUCAAAGUUGGCAUUGAGGUCAGUGGGUACUACAGACCAGGAUGGGUGUGGAGACACCAAAGGAGUCCCUGGCCUCUUCAGCCAGGAGAGAUAAAUGGACUUGUAUUCAGGAUUGCCAUGAUGGUUGGGCGUAAACUGUCUUCAUGUUUGGUUGAAGAAACAGAAGUGAAUAAAAUGAAAUUAGACCUAAUAGUAAGCUUAGUCUGCUUCUGGUUUUUCCAGCCUGUACAUCCAUUGAAUGACAAAGACUGGAUGUCAUAGCAAGAAGCUUACAUGUAAAGUCCUUUCAGUGUGCUGGAGCAGAUAGGAAGAAGUGUGUUCAUACUUCAGGGUGGUCACUCGAGAAAGUGUGAGGGUGGGGGAGGAGUCAGAGAAAAUUCCUCAAGGCUGUAUGGGAGAUGCCCAGACAGGCAGGGACACUCGACUUGUUACUGGAUGCUGGGAUCUGAACACCAGUCCUUAACCGCUGAGCCAUCUUUGCAGCAGCCCCCAUGUGAUAUUCUCUAACUCCCAUUUUAGCUCAUCAACGGUGAGAUCAAGCUGCCAGCUCAGGGCUAUUAUAUUUUCCUGGGCAUGAGGUGAUGGAGGCUUAUGCCCAGCUAUUAUGUAGACAUGCCACUAGACAAAAUACAAUGGAAGGUUUAUGAGACUAUAGGAAAUGCUAAAGGCAGCCGACAGAUCUACCCCCUUUUUCUAAACACAGCGUCCAUAUCUCUCCAGUGAUAUAUACUACAGUAUAUAGCUUGCAGGGCAACUCAGAAACAUUUUCCUGUCUCUGUGUUCGACCCUAAAAUGGAAAUUUUAUAGUAAGUCUCCCUCUGGGUAUUACAUACAUAAACAAGAUAAUUGAUGUGAAGCCUUGAUUAUGUGGCAGUCUGAGUGUGAUGAUUAUUGCUGAUGACGGCCUGAGAAGCGACAUUCUCCUGUGGAUUAAAAUGGUUUUAGAGGAAAGGAAUUUGUAGAAACCCCUUCAUAGAAGCUAAUGGGGUGCCCCAGGAAUCGGCGCCUCACCUAUGAAAUAAUUAGUUAGAGAGAAGUAGCCAGCUCAUGGAAAGAGCUGAUGUCUCAAAAUUAUUUAAGCUAGUAAAACCCGCAGAGAAUUCUACAGAAUAUUCCAGAAGGAGUUAAUCAAACUGUAUGACCAGGAAACGGGACAGCUUCUCUGUUUUAAUGAAGACAAAUGACUUGCUUAAGAAAAGAAGGAUUUCUGGUUGUGUCAGCGUGUUGACUAACCAAGAGGGCUAAGCAAUGUGUCAUCGGAAUCGUGAAGUGCAUCUCCACAUAUUCGUACAUAGCACUCCUCAUUCAGAGCACACUUACCCUAUCAGACAUCUAUGCCAAAAAAACCAGGUACUGUCCAGCCUUAAGCACCUAGUCCAGCCAGAAGGCCAGAGAGACAGAUUGGAAUGCAAAGUGACUGAGCAAAUAUAUAAGCUUCCCAUAGCGUUAUGACAAAAGACACAAACUACGUUAUUUUGUACCCCGUACAUUCUCUGCCCAUUACCAGGUCGCACCUCCCAAGCAUGGCUUAUCUGAGUCUCUGCCCCAGAGCUCAAAACGCUGUAUCUUCACCUGGCAGCUCACCUGGAGAGAAUCCUUUUUUCUCCCUUAGGUUUGGGGCAGGGGGACAAUUUGCUUGUGGCUGGACGACUGGAGGUGUUGAUUUUCAUUACUGCUGGCUGGGAGCUACUUUCCACUUCUGGGAUCACCUGCACUUCUUACAGGCCUCCCACUCAUGGUUCCUCUCAGUCUGGGCUUAUUCGACAAGAUCAUUUUUCAAAUUAGCAAGGGGGAAUCUAACCUAAUAUGGAGACUUCUAUGUGCCACCACAGAAGUAGUUCGUCCUCAUCUCUGCUACCUUCUAUUGAUUAUAAACAGUCUCAUGUCCUUCCCCAUCCCCACCCACAGAGGGAAGGGACUACACAGGCCAAGAACAACUGCAGGCUGGUGUUACUGAGGUGAGUCACACCUUAGAAUCUGUCUGCCACAGACACAUUCUAGACACUUCUAAGAAAAGAAUACAUGAAAGACAAGUGACUUGGGAGGGUUAGCAUCCAUCUAACCCUGUCCCAUUGGGCUGCAUCAGCUAAGGUGGGCGGGCUUUUGGUGGUGUAAUAGAUUGUCCUACAUUGGUAUGGCUAUCAAUUUUUGUCACAGAUUGCAUAUAAUAGCGAUAGGAAUAAAUGCUAUUUUAAUUAUCAGGAAAGUGAGUCCAAGAGCAUUUACAUAUAUCUUGAGUGCUUUGUUUUAAUUUAAAGUUUAUAAUUGUGGUUAUAUAAACCUCCUAAGGCCAAAGGUCAUGAGUUAUUAUGUCUAGGUUACUAAAGAGCCUGUGAAGACAUCUUUGGAGUCCUCCACCUCGGAGCAUCUCUGAUCCUGCAUGGUGUGCCUCUGCCACUCCACAGAAUUCUGUGCAAAUACAAGCUGAAAUGGUAUUUGUGGACCGUGACUGCCACGUCAACUCAAACUGCCCAACCUCUUCUUUGUUUAGUUCAGCCUACAGGAUGCUCUAAGUUACCUAGUUACAUCAGAAAGCUCACUAGCAUUCAAAGCUUUGGAAACAAGCCCAACCCAUUUACAAUAGCACAGAGCUGAGGUAGCUUCCUGCCUGUCCCUGCUGUGCUUUGUAAGGGAGUGGGAACUUUGCUUCUGAAAGUACUCUGAAACUUCCUGGUUGGUUCUUCCAGUUAAGCGCCCAGCAAACCUUUAGCUUCCCACCAAGAAUACCAGCAUCUCUGGGAUAAGGAAAACACCAUUGUGUCCCAGCAUCCUUUGCCCAGGGUGGAGUGUUCAGGAAUGGUAUGAGAUAUGAGCAUGCUGAACCUAUUAGUAUCUCUAGAAAAUGAGAAAUAUCAUUCUUUGUAUUUAAGUUUUAAGUUACAUGGUGUGUGUGUGUGUGUACGUACUGGUGGUGGUCAAUUGUAUCAUGCUUGGAAACAAGUAGCAGAUAAGCCAUUCAUGGCCCUAAUUUUGUAUGUAUUUUACUGUAAUUGUUUCUGUCAGAGCUACUGCUAUAUAACAAUCAAAGCAGGGCAUUUAACCCAGCAGCAGCCGUUCCACUUAGGAUGAAGAAGGACCACAUACAGUAGGUGUUGCCAUGUUGAAGUCUUUCAGUUUGAUUUGGUGGGAAGAAGAAGGAGAGAAUACAGAUGCUAAAGCCCCAUGUGUGUACCACAUUAGUCAGUCAAGGAACUUUUCCUGGAGGAGGUUAAAGCCAUCUGUGAACCAAUUCAGGGCUGGAGAGAUGGCUCUGUGGUUAAGAACACUAGCUGUUCUCUCGGGAUAGUUUCCUGGCAUCCGCAAGGCAACUCCCAACCAUCUGCACCUCCAGUCCAAGGGAUCUGUCACCCUCUGCUGGCCUCUGUGUGUACCACAUGCCUGUGGUACAUAUAGACAAAUACAGGCAAACAUUCAUUCACAUACAAUAAAAGUAAAAUAAAUAUUUACAAAAAUUCCCUCCAUUCGGAAAUGGCAAGAAGAGGUAUAGUUAGCUGAUAGGAGAUAAAUGUGAUGAUGCUCUGUUGUUUCAGUUCCUGGCUAUCUAACACAGUGCUCCUUGAUAAGAGGCCACUGAAAUGAAACAAAAUAACAUUUUAUUACAUUUCAUGCACGGAUUUUAUGGAAAAUAAGGUCUUAACUGAGAGUGUAGGACUUAUGGGAAAUGGCUUUUAAACUCUGGACCCCUAUCCUUAACUAUCUCACUGCAAAAUAUCUAAACCCUUCAUCUGGAUCCUCUUUAAUUUGCAGAUAUUUUCCAGUUUUUUUUUUAAAGCAACACAAAUGAAUCCAUAGAACCACUUCCCAUAUCUUCCCUAUAAUAGCAUUGUCUUAGUGGAAAUAGCUACAUAUUAAAAGGCCAUGAUUCCAUGCAUUAUUAAACACAUAAAGUCCUAUCCCAGGCAAAAAGCCACCAAACCAAUUAACCAUUAUCCCUCUCAAAACACACUGUGUCAAGAGUCAAGUUCAUAAAUAAUAUAGCUUUAUGAUAUUAGUGUAACGUGAGACUUGGGUCUCAGGUGGCUCUCAUCAGACCGCUGGACAAACAGCUCGGGUUGGGGACAUCACUGAGAAUUUCAGGAGGCAAGAAUUCAAACUGCCUGUCAUAAACACCAUGCAUGUUUUGCUCAGGUAGCAUUCUGAAAGAAUUGUACAAUCCCACGUCAUUCAAAAGGACUGCGUUUUUCCAUGUUACUCAUUAGCUAUGGCACAGUGACCCAGCCCGUGGCUGGGUGACCCCGUUUCUCUCUUUACCACCCUCACUUAUAUUUUGUGUUUACAGUUUGUUAAGAAAUUAACUAUGUAAAAAAGAAGAAAAAGCAGCUGUUACUACAGAGAUGCAAGUCCCAUUAAAAUGGCCCCUUGUGGCAGCACAAGAGGACCCUAGUGGGGGUGGUCCUGAGCAUUAUGGAUCUGUAGCAGAAUGAUGCUCCUAGUUUUAAUGGUCCAAUCUCAUUCUUCUGGAUUGUCAGGAUGAACCCUCACACUUGGGAAGGUUGAUAAAGAUAAAAUACAAUGCUGCCACAAAGCUUUAUAUGAUUUGAAAGGUUACCUGUAUUUGACAAAACUGGCUCUCGCUGAUAACGCUAAGCAUGCUUUCUCAGCCUCGAGAUGUGUGGAUUUCUAUACUACCCCCACUGGGAAACAAGACUUGAGUCAACUGGGGGAUUUACCAGGAUCAGAAUUUCAUUAAAAGGAGCUGAUAACACUGGUCUUUCUCUAUCACUGUAUAAUUUGUGAUGCCCUUAGCAAAAUAGAAAUGCACACAAGAGUCCAGUGCAUUUGAUCUUAUCGCCCGGGACAGAGUGGAGCUAUUGAGUGUCCUCUUCCAACAAUGCAUCAUGCCACACCGCAUCUCUGCUGGAGCUCGGGUGUAGACUGCAGGGAGGUGGAAGGCUAGGGCAGGAUGGUAAAGUACCGAGGCAUGGCGGAUGGACAUUCAGAUAAGAUGUUCCAGGACUCAGUCUCCAAAGUGUAAAGAAGAUGAGAAAACACCAGGAAUUCCAUUGCUUGUGUGUGUGCUUUAUUUGUUUGUUUGUUUAUUUGUUUAUUUAUUUAUUUAAGGCAGCAGAAGUCAGGGGCUGUAGAGAUAGCUCAGUGGUUAAGAGCAAUUGUUGCUAUUGCAACGAAACCAUGUUCAAUUCCCAAAUUCUACAUUGCCUCUCCAACUCCAGUCCCAGGGCAAUCCUACACCCUCUUAAGGCCUCUGUGGGCUCUGCUUGUACAUGGUGUGCACACAUACACACAUGCAGGCAAGCACUCAUGUGUGUGAUAUAAAAUAAACACAUCAGUUUUUUAAAAGCAGAAGUCAGAUAUUAAACCAUGAAUAUUAUCAGAGAUACAUAUACAUAUAUCUAUAUGGACAUAAGUAUGUAAACAGGUAUGUUUUUAUAUGUAUACAUAUCUAGAUAUGAUUACAUCCCCACACAGAAACACCUAUUUGCGAGUGUAAAUCAAAAUGCAAUAUAUUUUGACUUCUGCUUCUUAUUUAAUUGGACAUCACAAACAGGCUAAUAUUAAAAAAUAUUUAGCUAGUGCAACACAGAUGCUGACCUAAGACACACAGAUGACAUACACAGACCCAUGCAUUGUGGCCGAGUAUCCUGAUCAUAACCAUGUCCUCCCAUUGCUCCAGAGCCUCUUAAGACUCAGUUUUCUCAUUGGCCCCAAGGCCUGUUCCUUGCUUUCUUCUUAAUCAUUUUAGAUGCUUCUACUCUCUACAUGCACUGAGCAAGUCACACAUGUUAAAAGAUAUUUGCACCCACUGAAUUAUCAUUAUGAGGCCUCAUUUUAGUCUGACAGCUGGAAGGCGGGCAGAAGCUCAAAGGAAUAAAUCACAGAUGAAUCUGACAUCCACAGGUGUCAGUCUCGUUCCCACACAGCUUGUCUGCGUGGCCCUAACUACGUGCCUUGUAAAAAUUGCUUUUCUCUGCAUCAGUUUUCCGAUCUGCCAUGUGAAAAUCCUCCCUGUGUUUGCCAAAAGCAUCCUUGGAGUUAUGCGAGCAUCUUUUACAAGUGAAACUUCCUGAGCAAGGGGGCUCUGGGUUGGACCCCAGGCUUUGCUGGCCGUGUGUUCUGGCAAGUCCUGGCUUCUCUGAGCAUUUCUUUCUGUAGGCAGAAGCAAGGCUUCCCUGAUCAUGGUGGGAUUACCUGGUAGCUAUGGUGGGGGGUGGGGACUCUCAUCCAAAUCAUUCUGGGGAUGGCAAGAAUUAUUACUCAGUGUGGUGGUUUGAAUACGCUUAGCCCAGGGAGUGGUACUAUUUGGAGGUGUGGCCAUGUUGGAGGAAGUGUGUCAGUGUCGGGGUGGGCUUAGAGACUCCCCUCCUAGCUGCCUGAAAAAUGUGUUCAUUAUGACAGGCUUGUUUAAUGUUUAUGUUAAUGAGAAGUUUUCAGACAAGCCCACCAGCUUAUUUAUUAUAAGGAAGUGUGGAGGGGAUUUUUUUUUCUGACUGUUUUCUACCUGACUUUUGGCCAUGCAGUAAGAAUCUCUUGUUGGACUCCGGUGCUGGCUCUCUGGUUCUCGCCUGUGCUUCUUAUGAACACUGAUAGUGUUUGCAUUUCAGCUGAGCUUAGAAAAGCCCAGACUCCCUAUGGACCGCCACAGAGCUCUGCUCUGCGCAUCCCAGCAAGUGCUCUUUUGUUUCUUCAGCACUCAGCAAGCCAGGUGGAUGGCUACUUUGUUCUCAUUGAUUAAGUAACAUCCCAGCCCAUCAGCAGGCCCACAUCCAGAAGUACUUGCCCAAGGCUUUGUGGAGUAAUUUCGCCCACGUAUCUGUGUCAUUUCCAGAAUAGAUCAAAAGCCUUUCUUGUGGGGCAGGAUGGCACAGGGGACAACAAGCGUAUUUUGUUUCCAGUCCUGGGAAUGAACUCCCUAAGUCUCCAGUACUGUUACUCUGGGAUCGCAGCAUGGAAGUUCAGAGCAGGGGCUGGGAGUCCCAAUUCCGUAAGAGAAGUUCCACCUGGGAUAGGGAUAGUGUGCUGAUGUUGGCAGUUGGCCUUGACAUCUUUGGCCCUACUAGAUGUGUGUGUGUGUGUCUGUCUGUCUGUCUGUGUGUUUAUAUGAGUAUGUGAGUGUGUAGGGGUAUAAACAUGUAUGUAGGGGUGUGUGCAUCUGUGUGUACGCAGGGGUAUGUGUGUGUGUAGGAGUAUGUGUGUGUGUUGGGGUUUAAAGUAUAUGUGUAAGGGUAUAAGUGUAUAUGUGUAUCUAUAUGUGUAAGGAUAUGUGUGUGUGUAGGGUUAGAAGUGUUUAUGGGGUAUGCGUGUUGUUCAUUUCUGUGUAUAUAGGGGUGUGUGUAUGUAUCGGUGUGUGUAAGGGUAUGUGCGUGUGUGCGCACAUUUGUGUCUGUGUCUGUGUGUAGGUAUGUGUGUGGUAUCGUGUGGCAUGCUGUUAGAAUAUGCAGGGCAGCAUGGCCCUCCCUGCCCAAAGAAUCAGCAGAGUCUGGUGAGUUGAUCUCCCACAGUGAGUUGUUUAGCUUCUCAUAGAACACCAGUGACCUUCAUCUCCGUUUAUGUGCUUCUGGCUUGUUGGGUUAAAUAUUGCCCAAAGAAGGCUGCACUGAUUUUCACAGGCUGCAUAGAUGCUGAAGAGAGCAAAAUCAUGCUUGAUGCUCUACCAAAUGGAGAUUUAAUGUAAAGUUGAGCAGCAUUUUCUUAGAGGAAGCUCAUCUGUAUUCCUGUGUGUAGGCGCCACACUGCCCCAGCAUUUUAAGUGAAAUAGCAAGCAUUAUUUGGAGGAUGAAAGGAUCUGAGUGUAGGGUCUCUUCUUUGGCAUUGUCAUGUGAGAGGUGAGUGCUUACGUGUCGGAAGCAUUAGCAGGAUGCUCGUGUUGUGUAUGGGAGCCUGUGUCAGCAGCCAGCCAGACUGUACAUAGAGCUCGCUCAUUAACCAAGCUGCCUCUCACUUCCAGUUCACAGAGACAGCUUCUCUUAUCAGGCCUGUCUGUGACACAGGGCUUCCAUUCUCGCUAUCCUGUUGAAGUCUGACAAGCAGAUGAGGACCUUUUUUAGUCACAAGGGCUACACUGUCACACCCUCGGGGAAGAAGUGUGCUUCUGAGAACAUCUCAGAGGUGCUAAAAGAACAAGUGUGAGCAUGAGCAUCCUGCAUCCCGCGUUCUUAUUGGCUGGCCGGAGCCCAAGCUAUGUUGAGUACCUCUCUGUCUUGUGAAUAUUUGGCUCCAGAAGCCCGUAGAUGUGUUAGAAAUGGCUCAGCAGGGAGCUGCAGGAGUAGCUAGCCAAUGGGAAAGAAGCAAAGGUCUUAUGUGAGUUGCCUGGAAGGGAGACAGAGUGAGGGCGGCUAGGAAUCUCGGCGUGAGAGCCAGGGUUAGAGAGAGCAUCCACCAGGGCAAGAAAGUAGGGGGGAAAUGCAGAAAGCCUUUUAAAGGAGGGUUUGUGAUUAAGGAGGUAUGGUAUUCACUUUCCAGCUUUGUGGAUGGCGCUCUCCUACCGCAAUUAACUACUUCCACAAGAGCUUCCACCAGAGGCAGGUCUGAAUGAAUGAUCAGAAACUUAGCUCCUACUGCAGGCUCCCGAAGCCCUGGGUUCUGAGUAAACCCCACAUUGGGGGAACCAGGGUGACACUUAUAGACACCUGACUGAGAGUCCUGUGGGGUGAAGGAAGUCCUGGAGAGGAAUGUUUUUAAUCUUUUGAUGUGGAGCCUCUAAAAGCCCUACAUGCAUUACAAUUAGACUCAAGUGCUAAUGAUCUCUGACCCUUUUCCUACUGAGCCCUGCCAGCUGGCUGCCUCUGCUCACCGCCAACCAGAGUCUCCCACAUUGAACAGCCACAGCUCCCAGGUGCAGAUAAACCCAAGUGAGGCUCACUCAGUCGGGAUGAAAGGGAUACGCGAGAUCCUGGAUAUUCAGUCAGCUCUGGAGCGCACUGGGUGGUUUCCUUCCAAUUGAGUGUUUGUCUCUCGCUGUUGUUGUUUGGUAAAAAUAAUUCUCCGAAACAGCGUUCUCUGCCGAGUAGUGUUGAUAUGAAAUUCUUCUCUCAAGCGUGGCAGCCAUCCUAGGCUCGAAUCAGGAGGGACUGGGUUCACUAUUUCAUAAGGCUUUUUCUUCCUUUUGUUUGGUGUGUGUGUGCAUGUGUGCAUGCAUGUGCGUAUGUGUAUGUGUGUGCGCAUGUGUGUGAGGUAAGGGGGACUAGAAGCAGGAUAAGGUUAGGUGCAUGCAAACCUGCAGUUCAGCUUUAGCACAUGCACUAAGAGACUUGGACUCUACGUCUAGAGAAUGGUGAUUGAGGGUCAGUCCGUAUAGUCCUAAGAACCAUUUUGGUGGUGGGAGGUGCUACUCAGGGAAUAAAGAACAGCCUUUGUGUUUCAUUGUGCUUUCUUGCUCUGUAAGGAAAGGACACUGCGCACAAUCAGAUCUCGAACUGGUGACCAAGAAUCCAGCCUGACUUAGGGAUUCUCAUUCUAAAAGCUGGCAGGCUGGCCCUAGGCAGAAAAGAGAACCAAAUAAGAGGGAAACUUUUCUUCAUUUGUUUCUAAGGUAGAGCUGGUAGAAGGGUGUGCAAUGUGUGUGUGAGACCAGAGGAUGGCUUGUUGGGUCUCUUGCUCCUCCGUGUGGAUUCCAGGAAUCAAACCCGAGUUCUCAGGCAUGGCAAGUGCCUUCGCCCACUGAGCUAUCCUGCCAGUCUCUCUCAUUUAAAAGCAGCUUCCUUGGGCAGCCAAAUGGCUCAGCAGGUAAAGGAUAAAGCCACCCAGUGUGGGGAGCGGGUGUGGCGGCAGUCCCAAAGGCGCCAGGGACUGCAGCUAAGUCAUAUGACUUGCACCUGACUUCCUCAUAUAAGACACAAACAUCUUGAGUGCUGCGCAGGUGUACCAGGAUACAGGUGAAUCCAAUUUGGUGGAGAUUUGCCCCUGCUGCCCUGAUUAGCUGAAGCCUCGUGACUGGCGAGGGGGCGUGGCCUGCAGUGCGUGGAUGAGAGAGUAUAAAAGGAGUGAGAGGCCCAGGGUUCGGGGGAGAUAUAAACAAGAAGAAUCAGGGAGAUAUAAACAAGAAGAAUCAGGGAGAUAUAAACAAGAAGAAUCAGGACUGAAUAAACUGCUGUUAGAAGGACUGGUGGUCGCGUCGUUCUUGCUGGUCGAGAGCGAGCGCGACAAUUGGUGGCCCGUACGGGGAACCGACUCCCCCACCGAGUUCAGAACUUUCAGCAGUCAGUGGUUGCCGGCAGGGUAAGUUCACGGUGAGUGAAACUUGCAACCCCAGGAGUUUGGGAAGGACCUCGGAUAAAAUAGAGGUGAGCAUAAAGUUGCCAGGAAGUAGGCACAAAGUAACCCAGGAGUUUGGGAAGGACCUCGGAUAAAAUAGAGGCAAGCAUAAAGUUGCCAGGAAGCAGGCACAAGGUAACGAAAGGUUCCCGGCUUUGGGACAAGUUAAGGUUCCUGGUUUUGGGACAAGUUAAGGUUCCUGGUUUUGGGACAAGUUAAGGUUCCUGGUUUUGGAACAAGUUAAGGUUCCCGGGUUUCGGCACCAACUCUUACACGUGUUCGCGACCGGCCAGGAAAGACGCAACAAACCGGAAUCUUCUGCGGCAAAGCUUUAUUGCUUACAUCUUCAGGAGCCAGAGAGCAAGAGAGCAAGAGAGCAAGAGCAAGAGCUCUAUUGCUUACAUCUUUAGGAGCCAGAGCGCAAGAGAGCAAGAGAGCAAGAGAGCAAGAGAGCAAGAGAGCAAGAGCAAGAGAGAGAAUGGCGAAACCCCGUCCCUUUUAAGGAGAAUUAUCCUCCGCCUAGGACGUGUCACUCCCUGAUUGGCUGCAGCUCAUCGGCCGAGUUGUCGUCACGGGGAAGGCAGAGCACAUGGGGUGGAGAACUACCCUUGGCACAUGCGCAGAUUAUUUGUUUACCACAGGAUGUCAGCGCCAUCUUGCAAUGUCGAAUGUGUGGGCGGCUCCCAACAACCCAGUGCCAAGCCUGAUGACCUAAGUGUGAUUCCUGGUCCCACCUGGUGGCAGAGGGAAAUUAACUCUCACAAGUCCCGUGACCUCCGCAAGCAUGGCCCUGACAGAUAAAUGUAAUAAAACGGCUUCCCGAAGAGGCCACUGUUGUUUUGCUGACACCUCCUGAGUCACACCCUAGCCACCAGCUCCCCACUAACCAUCAGCUGUGCUCCAUUGGAACAGAGGCAUUGGUAUAUGAAGAUAGGAAUGAGAACGUCACACAGCACAAACCCACCGUCCCUGCCCUGACAUCUGGAGAGAGAUGACAGGAUGGUAGCUGUCUUAGGGUUUUACUGCUGUGAACAGACACCAUGCCCAAGGCAAGUCUUAUAAAAAAACAACAUUUAAUUGGGGCAGGCUUACAGGUUCAGAGGUUCAGUCCAUUAUCAUCAAGGUGGGAGCAUGGCAGCAUCUAGGCAGGCAUGGUGCAGGCAGAGCUGAGAGUUGUACAUCUUCAUCCAAAGGGUGCUAGUAGAAGACUGACUUCCAGGCUACUAGGGUGAGGAUCUUAAGCCCACACCCACAGUGACACACCUACUCCAACCAGGUCAUACCUAUUCUAACAAGGCCACACCUCUAAAUGGUGCCACUCCCUGGCCCAAGAAUCUACAAACCAUCACAGUAGCCUUGUAAGAACAGCACCUAGUAGGAGGAAUCCCUCUCUGGUCCUCAUAGACUGCCCAUGUGAUGGUAGGCAGGUCACCUCCCGGUUUACCGGGGCUCUGCUCUAAAGCCUGAGUGCCUGCUGUGUCUUCUGUUCUGAAAGACAUCGUCCACACAAGGCCAAACCAUCCAUAAUCUUAGCUCUUUGGAACCGAGUGCGUCAAGAGUGGAUACACUUUGACCUGUGAACAGGACGCAUGCUCAGGAAAUUGAAGCAUUUAAUAAAUAACGCUUUAUUAAAGUUAAAACUAACAGAUUCAUCAGACCCAGUACUUUGUGGGGAAUUAUAUGUUGGAACUGUCCAGUAUCUUCUUCUUCGAGAGUCUUGACUCUGGGUGAAAUUAAUAUUCUAAUUUAUUAUAAUAAGAUGCAAAUGCACACUCAAGCUUGAACUCCACCAAGGAGAAAAUGACAAAGAGAGCUCCGGACCGAAACGUUGUUUAUCUUCAUUAAAAUCUGACUACAGGGCUGGAGAGGGGGCACAGCGGUUAAGGGCCCUGGCAGCUCCUGCAGAGAGGACCUGGGUUCAGUUUCCACACCCACAUGGCGGCUCACAACCAUCUGUAACUCCAGUUCCAGGGGAUCCGAUGCUCUCUUCCUGCUUCCAGGGGCGCUGCAUGUAGUGCACAGAUGAACGGGCAGAAUAGCGUGUAUACACAUAAAGUGGAAAUUAAAAUGUAUAGAGAAUCCUUGGACAGUUCAGCAUGAUGUGAGAGGGAGCAGAGCAGCUGCCUAGUGGCUAUCCUGUGCAGCUACAGUGAAAACCAGAUUCUGGGGAGCCUUCUGCUUACCCCACUGUUUAGUGGGUGCCCUCUAAAAAUUGUUAAUAAUUUGGAACAACGCAUCCUGUCUUUUUAAUUCUCUGCUGACCCUGCCAAUUGUGUAGCAGUCCUGUAAGAGAGAAGAAAUGGUAUUUUUCUAGAUUUCUCUCUGUGUUGAUUCAUUCUUACUUCCAGUGUAUCUCUCCGUGUGUUUUCUGCGUGCCAGGCACUCUCGUAGGCACUUAAUUUUAUGUCUGUGACAUGCUUGCAUUGGUGGCAGAAGAAUCCUUUUCUUUGUCCCUUAUAAAUUUUUUUCUUCAGUGACUUUUUCUUGUUGCUAUUUUGCAUGUGUUCGGGUGACCGUCUCUCUAGGUCGCCCAGUGUUUACUGGUCUCAGCCAUUCUGCUGCGAGAACUUGUUUAGGAUUCCAAGAACAGAGUGGGAAAAGACAUUGUUUAGCAAAUCCAUACCAUAGGAUGUUUCUAUCAGAGUCAAAAAUGCCUGCGAGUCUGAACUCUCCAGCCCCACUUGCUCUCUGGUUUUGAAUCUCAGUUGGUGCUCAUCAGUCCUCAAUGUUAACAGCCUUGUGGGUGGGUAUUCAAACGUCUUUAUGGUGCUCAGUCUCUAGAAAUUGCUUCACCUUCGAUUCUGUUUAUCUAUAAAGCUCUGUUUUAUUAGUCUACUAUUUUUCUGAUCAUUGGUACUAUCUCAUGUGAAUGGGAUGGCUUGGGAACCAAAGGAGUAGUUCCCGCAUCACUCUGAAGAACAACGUUUACUCCCUCAGAGAGAAGCAGUGUUGGGGAAUUGAAUGAUCAGGGGUGAAAGUAGCUAUUGAUUCUCUCCCAAAGGUUAGGAUGCUGAACAAUCUACGAAUCUAAGAAGAUCAGUGGAGUCAGUCUUACAUCUAAAGACCCUUGUGCCUCGAAGGUGUCUCAUGACACUGGUAAGAAGCAAAUGUCCCUUUCCCUGGUUCCUGAGAUUGAAAUCACAAAACGUAACUGUUGGCUGUGCUUAGCCUCCAAUAAACCGCAGACCCAAAUCCAGGUCUUGCUCACCAUGCUUUCCUAGAUGAGUUUGGCUCCGAGGUGCUGGAAAAGCAGACUUAGCACAGGGCACAGAAGGUGCACUGUAGGCUGCACGUGCAGAAAGUCAUCUGAUUUCUCAUCAGUUAGCAAAACAAUGUGCCUUUAAGGUAACAGUUGUUUUUCUUCUCCCCCACUUCUCUCAACCCUUCUUGGCUCUGUUGGUCCAUUUGUCCCAGCUGUUUUUGUACCACCCAGAAGUGGCAAUGUGCCCCGGCAUUUACUCAGCAGUAUGUGGUGUGUUGGAUAUAUGGGUGGACUUUUAAUGUCUUCUCUUUAUCUCCGAGAUGAUCAAGAAACCAAUUCACUGAAGAACAAGAGAGAGGAGGGUCCUGUGGCGAUUUGAACACUCCAGUUUACGCUUCCCCCCCCCCUUGAGAAAUUCUUCACACCAUUUAAGCCUCGACAUUAAAAGGAAGAAAAAAGAAAUCUAGCGAGCCGUCAGAACCAGAUCCAGCCUGCAUGCUCUUUUAGUGGUGCUAGUCACGGUUAUUCAUACUGAAUUAUACAAUUCUAAAGUAUUUUAUGCCGUGCAAAAAUCGUUGAGUAUACACUGCAAAAAACAUGUGAUAAACCCGUAAGAGUCCAGCCAAACUGCAUUCCACUUUGCAAUCUAGAAUUGCCCUCAAUUUGCUUAAUGAGUCUCUUGCUCUUUAUUGAUUAGAGACUUUAAUUUGCCUUUCAGCACAGCUCAGACUGUUCACCUAACACCCACACAAUCUGACGUGAGACAGGGAUUUCCCCUUCACAGUAUUAUAGAACUUGACUGGUAUAAAUUGAAUGGCUGGUUCCUUUGUCCCAGGGAGGCAAAUGGUAAUUAUUUAUGGCCAGGAUUUUGUGAAAAUUAAAUUCCCAGAGAUUUAUGUUCUGCAAGGAUUAACUCUUUGCAGUCAGUACGAAAUGCCUUUGCCCAGUGAGCAAUUUUCCAGCCCCUGAGUUGAAGCUCCUCCCCCAUCGAUCCCCCACCUCAUACCCUUCCUCCCCUCCCCGCCCCCACACGGGCUCCUUGCUGACAACCAUGCAGGCUCUUCACGCCUCAGUUCCAGUAUUGGCCAGCAACACGUUCAUUAAUCAAAUAGAUAGCUUGACAGUCCCACGGAUAAAACUGAGCUUUUGCCUGUGAGCAUCUGGCAAACAGCUACUGCCUGGAAACUCGCAGUCACAUAUCUGUGGCCUCAGUGAUAUAUUUCAUUUUUGUUGUCAAUGAAACAGAAGUUGACUCAUUUCUUCCUGUGGAAUGGAAGCAUCUCGUUUAAAUAUCACCUGUAUUUCAAUCUACGUUAUUGAAGCAUUACAGCUGUCCCCAAGGCGCUGAGGUCACCAGCCACAGGCAGUUGCAUGUUCUUUCUGUGUCUUGAAUGGAUUUGAAAUGGACAGAAGCAUGAAAAAGAAGCAGAAUUUCCUGUAACUGAGCUUACCUUGGUCACUGGUCAUUCCUGUUGAUGGCAAAGGAUGAGACGUCUCCCCUUCAAGGAAGCCCAGUGAUUGGCGGGUUGAAAAUAUUUUCUUCGGGGAAUUAUUCAAUGACAUUGACAGUUUCCUAUCAUUUCGAUGCAGACUUCAAAGGCCCUGAAUGUGUCAUUGCCUCUAGUGGGGAUGCUUGGCUCUCCCCUUCCUCUAGGUCCCUCUUCCUCUAACACUUGGCUCCAUGGAGGCCUUUGUAGCUUGAUGAUGGGAGCUAUGGUACCCACUCCUGUUCUUCCUCCUACUGCUUGGUAGGCUGUCAGCCUUUCUCGUCACAGAGCCCCAUCAUGGAGACCUCUGUUCUCUUUCCUGCCUGGUGGCACCCGGUGCUACUCCCAUGGCAUAUCUUAGUGUCUUAGUCCACUGGAGCGGUGUCUGUAACAGAAUACCUUAAGCUAAUUAACUUAUUAAAAAAAAGAAAUGCAUUACUUAUGUUUCCAAAAUCUGUACACUCUUAGUUCUUAUAGAAUCACUUGAGAAGAAGGACCCUCAGCUGAGGUCUUGCUUCUGACAGAUUGGCAGGUGGGCAUGUCUGUAGUAUACAGAAAGGCAUGCAUAUACAUGCACACCAAGACACAGAUGCAUGUGCACAUGCACAUAAAUGCUUGCUUGCCAAACUUUAAAACUUGGAUGAUUUUAUAAUUAUCAGGGAAAAUCUGAACAUAUAUUUGUUUUAUAGUGUUACUCCAUACUUUAAAAAAAAAAACAAAUCCUGCAGGUUUUCAUAGACUUCCAAUUUAUUUCUCUGUUAACUAUUUAGCAAAGCGAGUCCCUUUUAUCUUAAAGUAGCUGUAGGAAUUUUCCCCCAGACUUAGAAGUUUUAUGGAUGGGUUAUAAAUAAACUCUCUGAAAAACUAGUAACAGUUGCUGUGUUCUUAAGUCACUGCUACUAUGUGGGCGUUGAGAGUGGAUGGGAUUUAUCUCAAAUUCAGAAGAUAAAAAGAAAGAACUUGUUCAGGGCUAAAUUUGGUUCAUCAACUACUAUCUUUGGUUGAUUUCCAAGAGGAUUUUCUUUGAAACAAAACAAAAUAAAUUAAAGAGGGAAGUAGUGAUGUACACCGUUAAUCCCAGCACUUGGGAGGCAGAGGCAGGAGGAUCUCUGUAAGUUUGAGGCCAACUUGGUCUACAGAGUGAGUUCUGGGAGAGCCUCGGCUACAGUGUCUCUCAGCCACCAUCCCCACCCCAAAUUAAAGAAAGGUGAUUUUAUUUUGCUUUGUCUUUGUUUUUUAUUUUUGUUUUUUAAAUGGCUUUUGAUUGUUUCUCUGUAAACCCUUUAUGAGGGGAGUGGAUUGCUGAGCUGUCUUUAGUGUGCUAGAGGGAAGGAAUGGGUGACUAAUCUCAGCCAUCACAGUCAGAAGCCUCAUGAAGCCCGCAGCUCAGUUAGCCGCUUCACCUCGGUACAUCAGUCCAUCGAAAGGAGUAGCACCAAAGGAAAGGAGUGGCAGAUGGAAGCUCAGUAUUGGUUUUUAUUUCCAACACAAGUAUCAUAGAAACAAUGCAAGACAAAUGUCUCUACAAAGGGAUGAAGAAGCAAGAGCAACGUUAUGGGUCACUCAAAGGAAAUAAGUUGGGGCCCAUGCUGGCCAAUCCUAAGGUGUUUAGCUCUCUCUGUCUGGAAAAGUAGUUCAUGCAUUUUUCCCAAGGAAUUCGACUUUAUAGGCAUCUUUGGCCAUCUGCCUAGGCGUCCUUUAAUAAGUGUACAACCACUCUAUAAGUACAGAAUACAACUGAGAAGUAGCUUCAUUCAUUUUCACUUGUUUUUAUGUGUAGACAGCAUUGUGCUCCUUGCAAAAUCACUUACCUGUCCUGCUAUUGGUGAGGCAAUUUUGUUCCUUUUUACAAUUUAACAAACUUAGACCAAUUUAGUCUCAGUGUCUCUCUUUUGGGGGGGGGAGGGGCCAAUAAACUGGGAAUGACCAGUUCCAGAAAGUCACAGCAAGAUUUCUGGGCCACAGUAGCUUUGCUUGAGCCCUGUUUCCUUAGCACCGUGCAUCCCUGUCUGGUUCUAGUGGUGACAGGUGCCUGCUGAUGGGACCAUAUUUAUCCAGGUGAUGAAAGCAGAUGAUUGUCUUCAAGAGCCAGCAGUAUAGUGAGUGGCAGGGAGUGGCCUGAACCAUUGACACCUGUGGGGCUGAGACCCUGAGUCAGCCUCAGGAGGGAACAUCAAUAUGGAUGGGUUUAGCAUGGAUCUGUAGAAAGCUGUCUUGUUUGUUUGUUUGUUUGUUUGUUUGUUAUGGGAGAGAGGUCAUGUGUGUGGAGGCCAGAGGACAACCUGCAAGAGUCAGUUCUCUCCUUCUAUCAUACAGGUCCUGGGGAUUGAACUCACAUCAUCGACUUUGGCAGCAAGCUGCUUAGCCAACUUGUUGGCCCCCAAAGUUGGCUGCUUAAUGCUGGUGCACCCAGGCUGUGCUGGAGCUUUGUUGCUCUUAAUCCCAAAGGAUUGGCUUUGGAGAAUGAGCCUUCCUGUUGGCAUGCAGCAGAACUUUAGUGGUUUUGAGCUUUAUGUGCGUGAUUAAUGGAUCAAAACAGAAUAAAUAUUACCCAGUUGCCAGGGCUGGCACUAUCAUAAUAAAAUUCAUAUGAAUGAUUUUAAUGUGUUUUCCAGUAAAAUGAAAUUGCUUUCAAAGGUAUUUUGGAAUUUCCGAUAUAUGGGGAACUUUUACAAAAACAUGUGCCUUGUGUUUUUAAUCCAAAAACUUUCCUUGAACACUUUUGCUCAUGGUAAAAAUAAUGGCCAACUCUCUCUUGCUUUUUGUUUCGAGUGUAUCUUUAGUGCAGUGAUUGCAUCAAAAGUGAUUACAAGGUUGUUCCAGCCCACCCUUGUCUCUGCUCAUGUUGCUCAACUGAUAUGUUUGUCUCUUUUUCUCUUGAGCUCCCCUGCUGUGAUGGGGACAUUUUCCCAGAUUUUAAUAAUCUCCAAGGAACGUGCAGAUGACUGUGGCUUGCAGUGGACUUAACCUGAGGGGAAAUUCUGCUGAGGCCCAGACUUUACAAUCAUAUCUACUUCCCUCUCUCCCUUCCCUUUCCUCUUCCCCCGAACCCCCACCCCUAUCCUCUCUUCCUUGAAGACAUCUUGGCACCUCAUUUCAACCCAGCCCAAACUGGGCUAUUCAGUAUGAGCUCUGUGCAUAGACUCUGCCUGCGCUGGCUUCUGAUCCCGGCUAGACUGCAGGUGGUGAAGGCUAUUGAGAAGUCAAUGCGGAAUGUUCUUGCUAUUCAUGUGAGGUGUAACGUAAGUGCUGGCACACCUGGGAAACAGUUUCACCAGCCAAAGUGUGUUAACACAUCCUAAGUCCUCCCAACCAUCCCUAGAAGGCACCAGCCACCUCCUCCUCUAUAGUGACUUAGAAUUGGCUGGCAGCACACUGGAGUCCAGUGAAUGUUUCAUGGAAACAUACUCUGUGUCGGGGUCUUGUUUAGAUUCUUGAGGCACAAAGCAAGGAGGAAAAGGUUCUACCUUUCUAGAGCUUACUUCUAGAAGAUACGAGCAAUUCCGAGAAAAUGCAUGUCCAUGGGUGAUAAGUAGUGAAGAAUCGAAAAAAAAGGUAAGAAAUCAGAAGCACAGAGUAAGCUGGAAAUUAAAAUUGGGUAGGCGGCUGGAUUUAGCAAAGAUUUGGGAAUGGUAACGGAGUUGACAGAGCUUGUUUCUGGAGGAUAUAUACUGGCAGUUAAGGCAACCAACACACUAAGAAAGCUCAAUGCAUUCUGGGAGUAUCACUCAGGCCAGUGUGGCCAUGGGUGUGAGCCCAGGUGAGAGUGGCCAGAGAUGGGCUGCAGGGGAAUAUAGCCUCAGGUUUGAGAGCCAUGGCUACAACCUUAGUCCUUACUCUGAGUGCACUAUGAAGCUAGGAGAAAUUUUGAGCAGAGAAAGGAAAUUUUGCAUUCAUUAAUAUGUUGGUAGAGACGAGUGUAGCCACUCAGUAAGGCCCGAUGUGAUGAUGAAUCAGACUGAGAUGGAGCGGGUAGGUUAAGGACUGUGUUUGGGGUCUGAGGAGUCCCGGUUCCCAUUGGAACUGUUAAUUAAAUGGUAACUGUCCAAUAGACUUUCAAAUGCACAGGGAGUGGAAGAGCCUUGAAGUUCAGGGGAGAAAUGGAGGGGGAGAGAUAGAGCUGAGCCCUGUAACGGGAGGUGCUUAGGCCCGGGACACUCCAUUCCACUGAGUCCUCGAGUGCAGGUGGGACAGCACUGCCUUGGUUGGUUUUCCCACUCGGAACCUCUGUGGGGAUGUCCUCAGAGGCUAGGGACAUCAAGGACAGACCUUCACUGCUAGCAUAUUCCUGUCUGUUAACUAACUUCACUGAUCUCUUGCUCUUUUAAAUGGCUCCAUCAUAUAUAUAAAUACCAUCACAGGUAUUUAUCAUGCCUGCAAGAGGCCCUAGGUUUCAACCUCAAUCAGAAAAAAGAGUAACAAGACAUGUGUAUUUUAAUAUAUGUGUUUAAUGCUUUGUGUGUAUGGAUAUAUAUAUAUAUACACACACAUAUAUAUAUACACAUAUAUUAAAAUGUGUGUGUAUAUAUGUAUAUAUAUAUAUACGUAUAUAGAUAUAUACAUAAUCUAUGUGUAUAUUUUAAAACAUUGCGUGUAUAUAUACAUGAGUAUAGAUGUACAUAUAUAAUUUAUUUAUGCAUAUAUAUGUAAUUUGUCUCCCAGUGGAGGUAGACUUUCCUCUAGACUGAAAAGUUUCUUCAGUGCUAACCCAUUUGAAAGUGGCUUUGCUUUCUCCUGUUAGGAUGGGCUGAGUAGUUAUACACCAUUCUAAAAUGCGUAUGUUCAAGUCCUGCCUCAUAGUGUGAUGGUGUUUGGAGGUUAUUAUGUUCAGAUGUCAAAAGGGGGUACCCCCAUGGUAGAAUUAGUAUCCUUAGAAGAAGAGAAGGUGCUAGAGUUCUGGCUUCUCUGAGCCAUGCUGGGGUACAGUGAGACACCCUCAAGCCAUCUGCUUGCCGGCAAGGCUGACCUCUCUAGGACCUGACUCCGCCAGUCCCUCCAUCUUGGGUGUUCAGGCUCUGAGACUCUGAGAGAUGAAUUUGUGUGGAAGACGUCUGCAUUCUACUCUUCGGUAGCAGCCAGGGAUGAUGUAGGUAUUUGCAAAUGCUAAUAGCAGACUGCACGUAGCUGACAAUAACUUUGCGUGGACUUUUAAUAUGAAAGAGAGUUUUUCACACAUUAACCCAACCCUGACUGUGAGCCCAAUUUCAACCUACUACUCAAAUAGAAAACUGGAAGUUUUUCUGAAAGGGCUGAAGCAUGCUCCUUAUUUUUCUAAAUUAACUCUUAGCAAAGCUGGCUUUAAACCCAAGCAGUUUGCAAUCUGAGGCCCACAUGCCGUGGUGUCUAUGGUGAGCCCUGUCCCGGGAAGCUGGCUUGAGAGACAGUGAGUCUCAGAAGUCACAUGGCCUGGCUAUGGCCUUGGCGGUGAUCCCUGCAAAGUUCAGGAGGCCACAGUGGAAGGCACGGGUCUGAGUGACAGUGUGCUAGCUUGGGGGGAUGUAUUGUCUGAACUGGGCAGAAUGCAGCUGUUCCUGGCAGUGAGUUCUAAUGCACACUCUGUGAAUCGCAAGCCUGAAUUUCUCCUGUGUGUGCCGGACUGUGCUGGCUUCUCUACAUCCCCGGGGGUUGUCCAGUGCCCGUGUUCUGGCACUCUGUCAGCAAAGAGCUGCUUUGUGGGUGUUUCUGGUAAUCCAAGUAGGACUAGCCCCCCAUUAACUCUGACCUGUGCUAUUGUUGCAGUGGAUUAUGGCAGUGAUGUAAGCUCCCAUUGCAACCCCAGGCAAUCCCAUUCCAGUGAUUCACCUGGAAAAGAAACCGAUUGUUGGCCUUCUGGCCUAGGCUCUGACUGCAGGCCAGCCAUCAGAAACAGUGUUCAGGCAAGCAGCCAUGUCACCUGCCUGCCACCUCAGUGUAUGGAGCCAUUCAGGAGGAACAACCUUGUCGCCUGAUGCUGUCUCAUGGCUGUGUGGCAGGUAACACCCAGGAGUUUGUGGACAGCGUCCAGGUCUGCUGAUCAGACUCUCAUAUUGCAUGUUUGUCCGAAGUGUCUCCAUCUUUAGCCUUCUUGGUUAUCCAGGACAUGUAGAUUGAGUUUGAGGGUGUCUUUUUGUCUGACAGCAAGCAUCCGAAGUGACAGGAAAAUCUCUG